rnacentral:rRNA from 1 species
UACGUAGGUGGCAAGCGUUGUCCGGAUUUACUGGGCGUAAAGGGUGCGUAGGUGGUUUGUUAAGUCUGCUGUGAAAUCCCCGGGCUCAACCUGGGAAUGGCAGUGGAUACUGGCAAGCUAGAGUGCGGUAGAGGGUAGUGGAAUUCCCGGUGUAGCAGUGAAAUGCGUAGAGAUCGGGAGGAACACCAGUGGCGAAGGCGGCUACCUGGACCAGCACUGACACUGAAGCACGAAAGCGUGGGGAGCAAACAGG